rnacentral:lncRNA from 1 species
AGCAGACUCCCCACUGCUCAGCGUGGAGCUCCGAGACCCCGGGAUCACGACCUGAGCCAAAGGCAGAUGCCAAACUGACUGAGCCACCCAGGCGCCCCUACAAGUUAAUUUCUUAAUGGCUUACAGAGACCCAGGGACAGCAACCCCAGCAUCUGCCCCGGUUAUACCAUGGCUUGUCAUAAUCUUUGCUUUGUUCCAGAGUGGUUUUUAGUAAAAGAUGGCCCAUUUCAAAAUGAGGAUGAGGACGAGGAUGAGGUAUAGUCUGAUUUUCCCCUAUUGUAUCUGAAAAUGUCCAAAUUGACUUAAAAUGGAAAUUAUAGAAUAAUAAGUAGGGAUAAAUCCAAAGGUAUCAGUAUCAUAAUCAAUCAAGGUUACUGAUGUCACAAAGUAAAGGCAGAGAUUCUUAGCUUGAGUUAAAACUGAAUCAAAACAAAACAAUCCAACAACUAUAAUACCACACACACGCACACACACACACACACACACACACACACACACGCUUGGUGACCUUUACACUAAAGUUUCCUCUAUCUGGGAUACUGUUGUUCAAUCUCUGUCCCCAGAACCCCAAGAGCCUCUCUGGAGAACCUCUGUCUCCCCCUUCAAGCUUUGCUUAAAAGUAGCCUCCUCUGUGAAGUCUCUUUGGAGCCUGCUGGCUCGGCUGGUUGUCCCCUUCUGUGUUCCCAUAACCCUGCAUCUUUAUGCCCUCGUCCCCAGUGACUGUUCUGAUGACAGUCCCCUCUGAUUGUCCGCCCAGGAGCCCCCUGCAGGGAGUUGCCCUGGGUGCCUCUCACACAAAGCUUGACAUGCUGGAUGCCCUGCGCCUUGGCCACGGUGAACAAGACCACAGAAGCAUCAGGCCAAGGAGAUCCAAUCUGUAGGUGGUCUAGAAGUGGGUAUAGACUGAUAAGGACCUUACGCCAGGUACCUAAGCACUGGACAAGACCAUGCCAGGGAAACUGCCAUAUGGUUACUGGGUAUGAAAGCAGCAAUCAGAAGACCUGGGACAGUAGACAAGGACAAUUGUUUGCCACCAACUAUCUCGCUCUCCAAUGGGACUCCCUUUCCCCCCAUCACAUAUUCUACAAUUGCAACUGGAUUUGCCCAAGUCAGGCAGGUUUUCCAGUGGAGCUAGAGGAUGUGUGAUGGCAGCUCCCACUAAGUAUAGCAAGCCGACCGAUACUAUGUGUUAAGUAAUAAAUACGUAAACAAUUAAUGUGGCUGUCA